CUUAUUGACACGCACCUUAAAUGGUGUGUGCUAAAAAAACAAGUUGAUUGAUUAGCCUAAAAGGCUAGUAUUUGAAUACUAGCCCUACGUUAUUUUAGAAUACAUGAAAAUUAAGCAAAGCUUAAUUAAAUAUAGUUACCCUAGAAUACUCCGCUAGUUCUAGGCUCUAAGAUCAAUGGUUAAACAUCUCUAAGGGUAGGAGAAGUGCUGUUGAUAUACAAAACCUACUAUAACAUUGGCGAAGUGGACUUAUC
rfam:Epulopiscium sp. AS2M-Bin002 AS2M_MBin02_38, whole genome shotgun sequence.